ACACCCUCUAGAGGCUGCAGGAGGAGAGCGCCAGCACUGGCAGAUCAAUACAAUGGAAGAGAGAGAGAGAGAGAGAGAAAAAGACAGGGGGUAUAGAGGCAUAGGGAGGGUAGAAGAAGGAAAGAGAACGAGAAGGGGGGUGUCGCUGGGCGAGGGAGGGAGACACAGUGAUAGUGUGCAUGUGUGUGAGAGAGGAGGGUGCGAAAGACGGAUAGACAGAGAGAGACCGAUUUAGAGCGAGAGCAAGGUGCACACGUUGCUCAGCCUUCUCAUUGCAGCCGCGACAGGCAGCCUGAAAGGAGCUCCAAUCUAACCGGUGGCAGCAAUAGACUACUGAAAACACAGCUUGACCGAUCAAUAGACCUUUGCCAGAAACAUUGUGAGAGGGAGAAAACUGCUCAAGGACCAGGGAAAAGCAGAUAAGGUGAAGAUCUAAAGGCAAUUACAACACCGGCUUCCAAAACUAGAAGACCACUGGGGACUUUGCAAUACAUCAGAGGGCGCAGAUUAUCCUUCUGUGUGGUGAGACAGGAAGAGCAUCAGCACUGGCACUUAAGUGCCGAUCAGAGGUCUAUUUGUGGAGUUGAUGAUCUCACCCUAGUGCCCGAGUUGUGAUGUGGGGGUGCACCAUGGCAAUACAAGGUUCAAUGGUGAGCCUGGCUUUACUGUUCUUUGCGAUUCAAGCUGUUCCUAACCCCACCAGCAAACUAGUGAGGACCACAAGGGUGAGGCGACAGGUUCCCGAAGGUAGGGUUCCCUCUAGCAACCAGACCCAGGCCAUGAUCUUCAAUCAUGUAUACAACAUCAAUGUACCUCUAGAGUCACUCUGUUCAGUGGACCUUGACACGGUACCAGGGCCAGGGACAAACAAAGGUACAGCUGGGAGUGACAAGAUGCCGACAGAGUACACAGAAGAGACAGUGGACGCGGACAGCCAGGUGCCCUUCCCCCAUCGCAUCAAUAUCCCAAAGCAGGCCUAUGCUUGUCCUGCGGCUGCCGCCAUGGAACAGCUGGCUAACCGCGUAGAGAUGCUGGAGAGGGAGGUGUCCUUGCUUCGAGCACAGUGUAGCUCCA